CACACGGCCCUGAAGGGCUGGGUAGUUAUUCCCAGCUUGCAGGUGAGGACGCUGAGGCCCCUCUUCUUUCUUAGUACAUCUGGGCUCCAACCACCUCUGCAAGCACCAGCGUCUCCACUCAGCGCUGACUAAGACAUCAGCAUCUUAAUCAGCGUGGAUUAAGGACCCUCACAUCCAACCACACUCCAGAAGUAUUCCUCUAAGUUCUUGCUCAUGUGUUUUUUGGAGAGUUCCACACGUGCACAGUAGAGUGGCUGCAGAGCUCACCAAGCAUCAGUGGCUUCCAGCUCCUCAGCCAGGCCCAUCUGGCUUUUCAUCCUUGCUAUGAUCUGAGUGUGUCCCUCGAAAAGUUCAGGUGUCGGAAACUUAAUCCCAAAUGCAACAGUGUUGGGAGAGAGGGCCUAAAAAGAGGAUGUUUCUCCAAAGGAUGUGGACACUUUUCAGAUAUAUAACCAUGGUACCAUCCUCACACCUAAGGUGAGUAACAGUGCACCCUCCAUAUCAUCCGAUGUCCUGCAAGGAUCCAUAUUGAUAACUGCCCCAUACGUCUGAUUUUAUUGUUGUUUACCUUUGCUACCUGGGGUUCAUUUGUUCGACUCAGGGUCAAAAUAUCCCACAGAGUGCAUGUGUCUUUGAUGCCUCUUUUGAUAUCCUGCCCGCUCCGUUUCUGCUUUUCCUUGCAAUUGAUCAAAGUUGUUGGGCCAUCUGUGCCAUGGAGGCCAGCGUGCAGCCUGAGGACAUCCUGUAGCUGCCCUGGGUGCUCUGCGUCUCUGUGGGACGUCUCCGUGCCCCGCGUCUCUGUGGGGACAUCUCCGUGCCCCGCGUCUCUGGGGGACGUCUCCGUGUCCCGCGUCUCUGUGGGACGUCUCCGUGCCCCGCAUCUCUGUGGGACGUCUCCGUGCCCCGCGUCUCUGUGGGAACUGCUAGUUGGAACGAGGCUGGGGCACAUCCGGGUUCUUUGCUUUUGGUCGGAGGCGCCUCCAUCAGGAUGUAUGUGGCAUCCUCUUGUCUUGUCUUUGUUGUGAUGUUAGCGUCAGUAAAUACUUCAGCCAAGGAAUGUUCUAGUGAACAAGCGAAUGAACUCACAGAGCCCCUGCCCUGACGGGGCUGUUUACCCGCGGGGGCAUUUUCCCCGGCCCCUCAUCCUAACAUGCACUCGUCUUUUAACUCUUUUGCUGAGUUAACAAAAGUUGCAGAAAUAGCAGAGCGAGCUCCCUCAUCCCUUCACCUAGAUUCCUUCACUGCUAACCUUUCUGAUCCACCUGAAACUUCCUUGCAAGCACAACAGAUGCCUGUUACUGCUAAAUACUUCAGUGAGUAUUUCCUGAGAAAAAGACGCUGCACACAAAACUGCAGCAAAAUCACUCACAGCAGGAAACCAGCGUUGGCUCAAUGGCAACACCUACCCCAUGGGCUCCACUCCGAUUGCACCAGUUCCGCGGUUUCUUCCAGAAGUCCAAGACUAAGCCCAGGGUCAGGUGCUGUGUUCGGCCGCCACACACCCGUGCUCUGAAGAGCGUCUCGGCUCUGCCUGCGUUUCAGGAUCUCGGCAGGCCGGCCCACGGCUUCGCGUCCUUCAGUUUGCCUGGCGCUUUCUUCUGAGGCGUGUGUUUCGGGCAGAACAUGCUAGACAUCGUGCUGGGCUGAUCUCAGCACCGCGCAGGGCACGCGCACGAGGCCAACCCAUCCCUGGCUGAUGACCGCGCCUCCGACCACCAGGGUAAGAGGGUAUCUGCCUGGUCUCUCUGCCGUUACUGUGUGGCCUCGGAGAGAACAGCCCCCAAGGUGCCCACCUACUAAUCCUGGGAACCUGGGUAUGCAUCAGGUUAUGUGGCAAAGGGAGCCAAGACUGCCUGGGACGCGAGGUCAUCCCCAAGACUUCAGGGGCAGUGAGGGUUACCCACCUGCUGGCCUGAGACGGGGAGGUCAUCCCCAAGACUGCAGGGGGAGUGAGGGUUACCCACCCACUGGCCUGAGACGGGGAGGUCAUCCCUGGCCAUCCGGGCAGGCCCAGAGUAAUCAUGAGGGUCCAUCCCAGUGAGAGGGGAGGUGAGGGAUCAGAGUCAGGGAGAGGCUUGAAGGUGCUGAAGAAGUUUGAAGAUACUGGCUUGAAAGGUGGACUGGGUCUGUGAGACAAGGGACUUGGGUGGCCUCUAGGAGCUGAAGGGGCCCAGAUUCUCCCCUGGAGCCCCCAGAAGGAAGGGCUCACAGCACCAAGUCCCAUGUCAGGCAUCUGGCCUCCAGGACUAAACAGUGACAGUGACUGUUGUUUCAGCCAUAAGUUUAUGCUGAUUUGUUAUAGCAGCCACAGAAAGCUAAUGCACAUGGAAUAUAUUGAUAUACAUGGAAUGCAUUGAUACACAUGGAAUGCAUUGAUACACGUGGAAUAUAUUGAUACACGUGGAAUAUAUUGAUACACGUGGAAUGCAUUGAUACACGUGGAAUGCAUUGAUACACGUGGAAUGCAUUGAUACACGUGGAAUAUAUUGAUACACGUGGAAUAUAUUGAUACACGUGGAAUAUAUUGAUACAUGUGGAAUAUAUUGAUACACAUGGAAUACAUUGAUUGAAAAGCAAUUAAUAUCUAUUUUCCGGGGAGAUCCUUCAGCACCGGAGGGGUCUGGUGAUGACACCCUGGCCUGGUGCGUGGAAAGACCUCACAGAAGAGGAACACUGAUGAUUUGCUGAGACUUUGUCUCAGCUGAGGCAACAAACUCACUGGCCCCGCGGUGCCCUGGUGUCUUCACUCUGCCCCACCUGGCCCUGGCCCUGCUGCGCUGGACUCCCCCACACUGGCUCCUGGAGAGGCCCCCGCACGGUCUAUGCCUGGAUCCCGAGCCCACCUUUCCCCCAAGGACGCAUCCACAUUGUCGAAAUCCAGGAAGGAAAACGAAACCACAGACGUUUUCUCUCCUCCUCUCAUUAACCCCAUGCGAUGACAGUUAAGGAGCAGAAGGGAAUUAACCAGCCGUGAGGAAGACAGAACUGGCAUUCACAGAAAAAAGAUUCAACAAAUUCCCGGGAGGUGGGAAGUCGACAGAAACGUUUCAAGAAGCAGCGUAGGGGUGCCGGAGCGAUGUCCCAGGACGGCAGGACCCCAGGGCUGUCCCCACACGGGAAUCAGAGUCUGCAUGGACGUCAGACUUCGCCUCAACAACGCUGGAGCCGGAAGACAAUGGAGCCGGGCCUUCCAAAUUCCACAGGAAUCUGGCUUCCAGCCUUGAAUUUUAUACUCACGCAAACCAUCCAUCAGGGAGAAAGGAUGCCUCAGCCCUUCCAGGCCUGGCCAGUUUGCACGACUUCUUAGACAGCACGCGGAGGUUUCCUGCAGCAGGGCAAGGACUCACCCAGAGAAACAGAGGCAGUGGCUCUAGCCUGGGGCCCGGAACAGCCCAAGAGGCAUCCCAACCAGGGCAGAGCAUGGAGGAGGGUGUCAGGAGGUGUCUCUGAGGAUAAGGAGGGGGUAAGGAUGGUGGAAGUGCAGACCACAGGAAGGAAAGGAAGUCAGUUGGGGCUGCGAGGAGACACAGCCUGCGCCGGGGAUGUGCACCGGGGACGUGCGCCGCAGACAUGGCCGAGGCAGCCUCAACCCUCCCUGUGGACUCAGCCAGGGGACACCCCCGUGGGGCAUCUAGGUGGGGCCUCUGCAAAGAGCAUUUCCACAGCUCCUGGCUCUGCCCUGCGGAGGGACCUGAGGAACAACACGUGUUGAUUUGUUGAUUUUCAGCUCUGGAAUGAACCCUGAGACCAACCCUGAAGACCCAGCAGGAGGUGCUGGGCAUUACUGAUGUUGAGACUGGGUGGUUCAGCCGGGAGCAGCUGAGCCCUAACCUGCCUGCUUUGGUGGGAGGAGCCAGUCCUCAUCUGCCCAUCGGUGGCCUGGCGCUGUCUGGCCCUCAGCCCGUUCCCCACAGCACCUUUCCUUCAGGGCAGCUCUGGUGUCUGGUGUGGGCCUGACGCUGUAGGACCAUCCCUUCCUGCUGUCCCUAUGAAGGGAGCCUUUUCCCAAGGCUGCUGGUGGACCACCGGUCCCAUCCCACUGGCUAGAAACAUGGUCUCACGCUCACCCCUGUACUCAUCCUGCAGGCAGCUCAGGCUGAUGGGAAUCUGCCCUCGAAGAGGGGCUGGGGUGGCUAUUGGGCUGUGCACUCCCAGCAGGCUCCAGGGCUGUGACGCUGCAGCCUGGACCGCACCGUGUGUGGGCAGCAAGUUGCCAAGAACAUGCUUGGUAUCCACCUCUCCUGGGCAGGGCAAGUCGGGGAGAGGCAGGCACAGGCGGCGUCCAUCUCUCCCAGGCAGGGAGAGUGGGGGAGAGGCAGGUGCGGGCGGCAUCCACCUCUCCCGGGCAGGGCGCGUUGGGGAGAGGCAGGUGCAGACAGCGUCCACCUCUCCCGGGCAGGGUGAGUGGGGGAGAGGUAGGUGUGGGCGGCGUCCACCUGUCCCGCGCAGGGCGAGUUGGGGAGAGGCAGGUGCGGGCGGCGAGGAUCUGGCCUCAUCUCACAGGCAGCGGCAGAGCCCACCUGGAGUCAGAACAGAAAUGACGCUGCAGGGUUUUGGGGGAGCUGUGUGUGGACGAGGCUGGGACAAUGACACGCUGGAAGGAGGCUGUGAGCGGCGUGGGUUGACCUAGAUUCUCGUCACCAGUCACAGCCUGAAGCUGGCGCCUCUGGAAGGCACAGCCCGGCACCACAGGACCCCAGCCAUCAAACCACAGCCUCUGAAUUUGGAAAUGUCUCGCCAGAGAGGGAAAUACCCAUCCCCACAGGAGCGAGAGCCCAGGGGUUGACAACCCUGGGAAGCCGGUGGAUUUCAGAAUCCACACAGGAGGUCCAGCCCGGCUAGGGCCGGAUGGCCAGGCUGUCCUUGGUUGGCCUGUGGCCUGGCCUCUGGCCUGGAGACCCCAGGAGGGCAGGUGGCCACUCCCAACAAGACCACAUGGCCACUGCCACACGUGUCUUCUUCCUCCAGCCACAAAGAUAGUGAUCCCUUGGGCGUCCCUGUGGGGCUGUACAGCAAAUCCCCUGGGGAGAGGGACCGAGGCCCGUCCCAAAGGGACAGUCCAGGUGCUGCAGGGCAGCCGCUCAGGGCAGGCAUGGCUGGCAGAGGGUGCCUGAGGGGCUCAGAUAGCCCCUUCUCCAUGGAGCACCCCCGCCAACCCCCUUGGGCCAUUCUUUCUGCACUGGGGGGUGUCAGCCCCCUGGGUCAAGGGCAGUGGGGACCUGGGCUGAUGUCCUCAGCACCGAGGCAGGACCCGGCACCCAGAGCCCACCCCGGGCGGCCCCUGCACACUCCCCAGAGGGGCCCGGGUACAUCUGGCCAUGGCCGUGCUCUGUGCCUGAGCCCUGACGCCUGGCUUUGUGUGUGCUGGGCUGGGCUGGGCCUCCGGACAGGGGCAUGAGCUGGGCCACUGGCUGACCAGGGGUGUCCGUCAUCCAGGGGUGUCCGUCAUCCAGGGGUGUCCAUCCAUCCCCAGUGGGCACAGCUCCAACCCCUCCAGGGCAGCCUCAGCUCCCAUUCCCAUCCAGUCUGCCCCUGCCCAGCCUGCCCAGCUGGGUGCAGGCCAUGCCCUCAGGCCCAAGUGGGCCUAGCCUCAUUCUCUGUGGGUGGCUCACCCCUCUUCCCAGGGUGGGCUGCCCCCCGUCCUCCCCACAGGGGAAGAUCCUAUGUCUGGGCCCACCGUGGACAGCCGGAGGAGACCUCACACCCUCUCCUGGAGGCCACGCUGGUGCGUGUGGCCAGGUGUGGGAUCUGGGCCUCGCUGGCUACCAGGACAUACUGUCAUCCUUGUGUGCUGGGGGACGGGGCUGUCCCUGACAUGAGGAAAGAGGCAGGCAACUUCAGUACACGGUGCUGGAUGGGAGGAGAUGAGAGGAGAACCCUGGCACUCGAGACCUCCCUCCAAGACGCCCUUGCCGCCGAGUCCGUCCUGAACCUCGGCGAGUGAGUCACUUUCCCACUCAGAGGUCAGUUUCUCCGAAGUGACUUCCCAGAGCCGUGAAGACAGCAAGCCAGCCUCUGGCAAGCGAUGGCUUGGGGGCAGCGGUGAGGGAGGGGCUGUGCUGAGCAACCUCAGGACUGGUCGCCAGUGCCUGAGUCAGGGCACCUGGAUGGGGUCACAGGCAGGGAGGUGGGCACGUCUCCAGCUGCGCAGCCCCGUCUACCCAGCCCAGCCCCAGAGACCCUACCAGCCUGGCAGGAGGGCAGUGUGGCUUAGAGCAGGUAGGAGAUGGAUCUGAUGGCGAGUGCCGGGCUCUUUGUGCAUAAAACGGGCCCCAGAUACUCACAGUGGGCCCUCGUGUGCUGUCUCAGUCGUGGUCCCGUGGGAGGAACGUGAGUGUCGGGAACCAGUAGCAAGAGGGAGGGCCAGGGAGCAGGGCCUGGGCUGGGGAAGAACCUGAAAGGGGUGCUGGAGUGGCUGCCCUGUGGGAGGCGGAGGGAGGGGCCUCUAAAGAAGCACGGCCGAUUGCUGCGACUCUGGGCCUCCUGGUUUUUAAGACCACAGCAGACAAUUAAACUGCCCCUCACUCGUGUUUGGCGGUCUCUGGCCGCACGGAAGCCAGGGGUCAGAGCCCUACCAGCCCAGGCAGAGUCAGUUCCUUGAGGUCAGGCCCUCCAGGACCUGGGGGAUCCAGGGACCAAGUGGGUGGACAGCUCUGCUCCUGGGGUGAUCUUCCCCCUCCCCUGAGUCCUGACCCAAAUAAACAGCUGGUGCCCUGUCCUUGCAGCCUAUGCUCCUGGGGAGCCGGCCUGGGAUUUGGAUUUGUACUCAUGAAGGACAGCGCUCCCUGACUCCCAGCUCCCCCUCCCUGGGCUGCUCCCCUUGGCAGAUCACCAGGGGAGGGGGACAGGAUGCGGGAACCAGCGCCCUCCCUCUCCUGAGGCUCAGCAGAGCCCUGCCCGGUCCCGCAGUGCUCCCAGGACCCUGUACCAGCCCAUCUGUGCACUGUGCCUCGGGCACUCCUGGUAACGAUGCCUCUUCCUCCAGGACGUGCGCCCAGGCCUCCGCUCAGCGCCGUCCGGGUUUCCUGCUGCCUCCUCUUGCUCCUUUCGGGGACACAAGACACCCGGGUCUUGCUCCUGCCAUACCCUGCUCUGAACCUCCCCCCAGGAACCCCGACCAGACCGCCAGGCAGUGCCUGGACUCGCUGUCCAGAGUGGGGAAUUCGACCAGACUCAUUCAUGUCUAAACCCUCUGAGUGUUUCCAAAUCACCCCACUCCCAGCCCCACCGAGAGGAAGGUGGGGAAAGAAACCAAGCACGGUGGAGGGUCCCUGCUCCUUCCCCACAAGAGGCCGCGCCUGUGGUGCCGAGUCAGCACUGCUGCUGGUGUGGCUGUAAAUAGUCCUGAGAUUGGAGAGCUCAGCUUUGAGGAGGCUGGAAGGUAACAACACCUGACAAGUUUUAUUUUUAAAUGUAUCUGCCCAGGCUGCAAGAGGGGCUUACAUAAUUCAGGCCAGUGUGUUUACUUAGUCUAAGGUGAAACCCAAAAAAAGAAAAGGAGGGAGGGAGGAGGAAGGGUGGGAAGGAAGAACAGAACAGGGAAGGGGGAGAGGAAGGGUCCCCAGCAGCCUCGGCUGGCACAGACUUGGCUGGGGCUGCCCUCAGCCACCGCCUGGAGGGAGUCAAUGUCCACCACAGGUGUGGGGGCACCUGGUUGGCCUCCCAGCAGGCUGUUUCCUGGCUAGGGCCCUUGAGCAGAGCCCUCAGGCCACACGUGAUUCGCUGAAGUGGGCAUAUCAAGGAGGGGGCACGUCCUACCUGGGGUGAGGGCCGAACCUGCUGCUCCCAGGUCAGCACAGCUAGUGGGGAGGAGGCGUCCUGACCCUGGAAUUGUGGUAUGUGCAACAGAGUCAGGCUGUUCUCAGCCGGGCAGAGCUCCUCCCUCCUCCUGAGCAUGGAGGGAGCCAUCGGGUACUAGUGGUUGCCAUGAGCACCGACCCGCCCUGGUCAGUCCCCCAGUGCUGCUGCUGGCCACUCCAGGGGUCCCAGCUCUGAGGGCACCCUGCCCCUUCCUGGGGCAGCCUAACGAUGCCAUGCAGGCUGGGUGACCCUCACAGAGGAGCGUGGGUGCCUUGGGGGCUGAGGCCCAGUGGGGGCCGAGCGGUGGGCGUCGUGCCCACCCCAGGCAGCAGGGUGCACCACUCAUGGCACAGUGGCCACCGCUCACUUCGUCCCAGGACGACUGGCAUGGAUGACACCCAGGUGCUUCUGCAGCAAAGAGCCCUGACUGCAAAUGGGAGCUGAAAGGGGUCCCGCCGGCUCCCAUGAGUGAACCCAUCUGGAAUGAGGUUUAGUCAUCAUCCUGACUGGAGCCCCAACUCCAGCUCAGCCCUUGCCCCUGCACACCUGGGACCCCCAGUGAUGUAUCAGCAACUCCAAACCCGACCAAUAGAAAUUAUUCAAUUUGAAGAACAGAGAGAAAAAACGAUUUUAAAAAAUAAAUGGAGUUUAACAAUA